AGAGUUUGAUCAUGGCUCAGGAUGAACGCUAGCUACAGGCUUAACACAUGCAAGUCGAGGGGAAACGGACAUCGAAAGACUUGCUUUUGUAUGGGCGCCGACCGGCGGCACGGGUGGAGUAACGCGUAUCCAACCUGCCCAUCACUUGGGGAUAACCUUGCGAAAGUAAGACUAAUACCCAAUGAUAUCUCUAGAAGACAUCUGAAAGAGAUUAAAGAUUUAUCGGUGAUGGAUGGGGAUGCGUCUGAUUAGCUUGUUGGCGGGGUAACGGCCACCAAGGCUACGAUCAGUAGGGGUUCUGAGAGGAAGGUCCCCCACAUUGGAACUGAGACACGGUCAAACUCUACGGAGGCA
rnacentral:rRNA from 1 species